rnacentral:rRNA from 1 species
GACGAACGCUGGCGGCGUGCUUAACACAUGCAAGUCGAACGAUGAAGCUGGAGCUUGCUCCAGUGGAUUAGUGGCGAACGGGUGAGUAACACGUGAGCAAUCUGCCCUUGACUCUGGGAUAACUGCGGGAAACUGUAGCUAAUACCGGAUAUAACACCUUGGGGCAUCCCGAGGUGUGGAAAGAAUUUCGGUCAAGGAUGAGCUCGCGGCCUAUCAGCUUGUUGGUGAGGUAACGGCUCACCAAGGCGACGACGGGUAGCCGGCCUGAGAGGGUGACCGGCCACACUGGAACUGAGACACGGUCCAGACUCCUACGGGAGGCAGCAGUGGGGAAUAUUGCACAAUGGGCGAAAGCCUGAUGCAGCAACGCCGCGUGAGGGAUGACGGCCCUCGGGUUGUAAACCUCUUUUAGCAGGGAAGAAGCGAAAGUGACGGUACCUGCAGAAAAAGCACCGGCUAACUACGUGACAGCCGCCGCCGUAA